UUAGAUAUCUUUUGGAUAUAAUAUGGCGACAUGUUAAUGAGUUCCACUUUAUUAUUAAAUUACAAGCCAAACAUAUAUUUUACCUAUUACACAACCUUGAUUGCUGAAGGCUUGAAGCUUCCUUUUACAAGUUCAAGGCUUGGAUCGGUUCUAAUUAAUGGGGGUGAAAUUGAUCAUCAACAAAAUAAUGGUGAGAAUCACUUUCAGAAGAACCAUGUCCGAAUUUACCAUAACUCUCGUUCGCAUCAUUGUUGUCAUCAUGCUUAGCCUCGUUGUUGUUAUUGUUUGUGGUUGGAGGCUGAGAUUGAUCCUUUGUGUCACUAUCAACAGCCUCACCAGUGCUUCGACCCUGCAGAUUUGGAUCAUUUUUCUGCUGAGCCAGGUGACGUUCAUGCAAAUUAUAUCUUUUAGCAUCAGCUUGCAAAGAAGCCAAGAUCAUCAUUUUUCUGCUUGGUUCUGUCCUCUCCAUUGUUUCAUAUGCAUCAUCCAUGGUGGCCAUGACACUGUAGCACAACCAUUAAGUAUGGCUUUUAUGGUGGAUCCAUAAUUUCUUAUCUGCUUUGCAAACAAUUUAAGUAAACCUUACCUGACUUGUAUAUGUUGACCUCUUAGAAUCGAACCCUGGAGUUCGAUGAGUUUAAUAGAAAAAGCUAAAGAGGGAAAAAAAAAAUUCCUGAAUUAAUCUAUAAAAUCAAGUUGUGUUUAUCCUAGGCCAAAUCAUUUGUUUUGUCGAACAUUUUCCCACGAGUCGAAUUCCCACGAGUCGAAGGACCUAUUACAAUUUACAAAUAUUUUGCUUGGUAAUAUAUUUUCUGGAAACAAGCCCUCUAUCAAAGCAGCUAAAAGAAUUAUAAACGAAAGUCGCUAUCAUCAAUAUCGUCACUAUCAUCAACAAGAAAACAUACCGUACAUAAUCUGUAAUAUACAAGGAGAGAAAUACAUAUAGUACUUUCUUAUAUUGAAAAUUUGACAUAAAAUACAAAAGUGGUACACUUAUAUAGAAUUUUUUUACCUUUUAGACGUUGACCCCUACAAGGGAAAUUCCUGGAUCCACCACUGGUCAUCUGCAGAACCACAAGCACAGGGGUGGGGGCGAAAUACUGUCUAAGGAAAUAGCAAAUCUAAUAGCCUCUAUCAUCUCUGCAAGUUAGUAUUUUUGUUUAAUACAAAUUCUUGUAUCUGUAUUUUAUGUUGUUAUAUACUGAUUCAUUUAAAAGCCUUAUAUAUAUAUAUAUAUAUUGGUAAAAUAUAAAGAUAAUUGAUAUAUUUACGGAAUUUCGAAAAUAAAACUUCACUAUAAAUUUGAAAUAAAUACAAUAAAAUAACGACAAGGAAAAUGUUAAGAAUACUUUAUAGAUGAUCGAGUCUAGAACUUAGUUCUAUAUCUUUAAGACGAAAUUGCCUUCUCACAGGUGCUUUUAGGAUUUUCUUGGCAAACGGCUCUCAGGAUACAACGAUCGACUUCUUCUUGAAGUAGCACUAUAGUCCCCAAGAAAAGCAAACUCAAACUUGUGUAUGAAUUAUCUCUUACUAACUCACUAUAUUUCUGAAAAUAUAAUGCUAUGAAUGCUCUAAAAACUA
rnacentral:lncRNA from 1 species